GGGGGAUUAGCUCAGCUGGGAGAGCGCUUGCAUGGCAUGCAAGAGGUCAUCGGUUCAAGUCCGUUAUCCUCCA
rnacentral:tRNA from 2 species